CAGUCGUACCUUCGGGUAAUCAGCCUUUCGGGUGCGAUUCUGUGGAGUGUGAGGAGCUUAACACCUUCAUGCUUUGCAUAUUUGUGCUCUCGGGUGUACUUGCUCGUGUGGUUGGUUAACAUCAAUUUUGAUUAUCAUAAAAUGAUUGGAGGAAUGUAGCUUCGAUCUCGUAUUGAAGUGUUAUAGCCUUCGGUAGAUAUGAUGAUCGAGAUUGAGGAUUGCAACGGAUACCCUUCGGGGCUACCUGUCUGGUCUCUGAUCGUUGCUUUGGUGCCGAAAGCGUGCUUACGGUUAUCAAAGUCGAUGGUCAAUAGGUUAGAACGGGUUAAA
rnacentral:rRNA from 1 species